rnacentral:rRNA from 1 species
UGCCAGCAGCCGCGGUAAUACGAAGGGUGCAAGCGUUAAUCGGAAUUACUGGGCGUAAAGCGUGCGUAGGCGGUUAUUUAAGUCUGUUGUGAAAUCCCCGGGCUCAACCUGGGAAUGGCAAUGGAUACUGGAUAGCUAGAGUGUGAUAGAGGAUGGUGGAAUUCCCGGUGUAGCGGUGAAAUGCGUAGAGAUCGGGAGGAACAUCAGUGGCGAAGGCGGCCAUCUGGAUCAACACUGACGCUGAGGCACGAAAGCGUGGGGAGCAAACAGGAUUAGAUACCCUGGUAGUCCACGCCCUAAACGAUGCGAACUGGAUGUUGGUCUCAACUCGGAGAUCAGUGUCGAAGCUAACGCGUUAAGUUCGCCGCCUGGGGAGUACGGUCGCAAGACUGAAACUCAAAGGAAUUGACGGGGGCCCGCACAAG